CAUCAAAUAUGAAAUAUUAAACCGGAAAAAAGCUAUAAGUUGUACAAAUAUUAUGCUUUGUUUUAAACAACCAAUGAUCCGUGUGAAGUGUGGUUGUAUUGCUUCGUUCGAAACGCUACGGGAAGACACGUGCAUAAAUAGUGCGCCACCAUAAAAAAAGAAGAAGAAGAACUGAGUACUUUCCUUCGAGUUGCAUCGAAUUGGAAAGUCGACGCUGCUACAGAAAAAGAACAGAACAACUUACUUUUCAACAAAACACAGAAAGGCUGCAUUUAGGGUGAAGAGCAGUGGAUUGAGCAUGCAGCCUUGGGGGUCCCCCGUGCUCAGCGUGAUGCUGGCGGAGAUCUUGUCGCCAACACGUACCACCUGAGGCCUCUGACAGAGGAAGUCCAGUAGCCAGUUGCAGAGGUGGGUGAGGGCUGAAUGGAGGGCAGAGCAGAUGGCAUCCUCAGAGGACCGUUUGGCUCGGUACGCAAACUGGAAGGGGUCUAUGGAAGCGUAUUUUGACAAACACUCAAGAACUUCUGUAAACCUUUGUCUCCCUGUUCCAAUUCAGCUGUACUCACUUCUACCCGCACUAAUCACUGGCGUGCAAUGUUUGUUUUGGACUGCCUACUAUUAUUGUCCUUAUCUCAUCAUACCGACCAGACAUCUUUGAGUGAAAUGAAAACUUCCCGUUGGCUCGCUUGCUUUGUGUUUGGGUCCACUUAAAACCAACACUAAACAAGCUGCUGUUCUAUUUUAAGAUGGUCGAAACCACUUUUCCUAGUAGUUGGAGUGAGCGUGUUUUCCCCGGGGUAUUCGCAGGGUACAAAAAAGUUACAAAACCAUUCACUCCGGAUGAGCUUUGAGAUGAUGCCAUGGCAAAGAUGUAAUUUCCCUUUUUUUACCCAUGUAGUGAUUUGUGACUCCAGAUUUAGCUCAAGGAGUGGCACGUGAAAAGGUAGGUGUUUAUCUUCUGAUGUCAUCUGUCAAACGCGCACUUUUUAUUGAAGUGCCCCCGGCUCCCGGGUAACGGGUUCAAUAAGCCGGGGUGAAAGGACUCGUCCGUAGCUAACCACCCGAGUUAAAUUAAUUCUACCAGAAUCAAUCUAAUUUCUACACGACACCAAUCCCUCCGAGUAACUCAAUUCGAGGCGAGUCGUCGAAAUGACCGCGCCAUAAUGAUG